rnacentral:tRNA from 1 species
GAGGUUGUGGCUCAGUGGUAGGGUGCUCGCCUAGCAUGUGUGAGGCCUGGGUUCAAUCCUCAGCACCACA